rnacentral:rRNA from 1 species
CAUAUCAAUAAGCGGAGGAAAAGAAACUAACAAAGGAUUCCCCUAGUAACUGCGAGUGAAGCGGGAAAAGCUCAAAUUUAAAAUCUGAUAGUCUUUGGCUGUCCGAGUUGUAAUCUAGAGAAGUGCUAUCCGCGCUGGACCGUGUACAAGUCUCCUGGAAUGGAGCGUCAUAGAGGGUGAGAAUCCCGUCUUUGACACGGACUGCCAGGGCUUUGUGAUGUGCUCUCAAAGAGUCGAGUUGUUUGGGAAUGCAGCUCAAAAUGGGUGGUAAAUUCCAUCUAAAGCUAAAUAUUGGCGAGAGACCGAUAGCGAACAAGUACCGUGAGGGAAAGAUGAAAAGAACUUUGGAAAGAGAGUUAAACAGUACGUGAAAUUGCUGAAAGGGAAACGCUUGAAGUCAGUCGCGUUGUCCAGGGAUCAACCUUGCUUUUGCUUGGUGCACUUUCUGGUUGACGGGUCAGCAUCAAUUUUGACUAUUGGAAAAAGAUUAGGGGAAUGUGACAUCUUCGGAUGUGUUAUAGCCCUUGGUUGCAUACAAUGGUUGGGAUUGAGGAACUCAGCACGCCGCAAGGCCGGGUUUUUAACCACGUACGUGCUUAGGAUGCUGGCAUAAUGGCUUUAAUCGACCCGUCUUGAAACACGGACCAAGGAGUCUAACAUGCCUGCGAGUGUUUGGGUGGAAAACCCGAGCGCGUAAUGAAAGUGAAAGUUGAGAUCCCUGUCGUGGGGAGCAUCGACGCCCGGACCAGACCUUUUGUGACGGUUCCGCGGUAGAGCAUGUAUGUUGGGACCCGAAAGAUGGUGAACUAUGCCUGAAUAGGGUGAAGCCAGGGGAAACCCUGGUGGAGGCUCGUAGCGAUUCUGACGUGCAAAUCGAUCGUCAAAUUUGGGUAUAGGGGCGAAAGACUAAUCGAACCAUCUAGUAGCUGGUUCCUGC